CUGCCCAUCUUAAUAAGUGAACGGAGUGGGGCUAGGUCAUACUCUUAGGGGGCUGUCCGGUAUAAACCAGCAAGACCCAAGCUAUAGGGUUUUCUUUUCUUAUUAAUGCUUAGUAUAAUGUUUUGCUACCUACUCUCAAUCAGCUACUAUAUAGCCUGUUGUUUCAUAGUGUCUAGCAUGUCUUUUUUAUUUUCUACUAAUAGUUACUCAUAUUAUCGGGGGCCAUUUCACCAUAGCGGUUUAAAGAUAGUCAUCUCUAGAGUAAGAGACAUAACCCAUUACGCCGUGUAUAUACCUUUAAAAAUAAAUGCAGGUUGGGGCGGGGCCUGACCACAGGACUGAGAGGAUGCAAGUCUCAGCAGCUCCUGCUACUCAAAGCGGAAAAAUACUAAUAAAGCUACAGAAACUACACUAAAAAGCUAAACAAAGGCCACCAAGUGAAAGGGAAAACUGGGACAAACUCAAAGAUACCAAAUAAGUGACAUUUAACCCGGUCCUUACCAG